rnacentral:rRNA from 1 species
UACAGAGGUGGCAAGCGUUGUUCGGAAUUACUGGGCGUAAAGGGCGCGUAGGCGGCCUUCUAAGUCAGACGUGAAAUCCGCCGGCUUAACCUGGGAACUGCGUCUGAUACUGGAAGGCUUGAGUGCGGGAGAGGGAUGUGGAAUUCCAGGUGUAGCGGUGAAAUGCGUAGAUAUCUGGAGGAACACCGGUGGCGAAGGCGGCAUCCUGGACCGACACUGACGCUGAGGCGCGAAAGCUAGGGUAGCAAACGGG